CUAAGUCACUUCUGACGUAACCCGUAACAACGGCGUGAGGUGUAGAACACAGCUCACCCUCCUUCUUAAACCUAUCGCAGGGAACAUCGUUUGAAGAAAAACAAGCGCUUUUCGGCUUUCCAGUCCCGCUGUUCAGUGUUUUCAUCCACCUAUCGCAGGACCGGUUUCGUCAGGGUGCACUGGCCUGAUCUUUUCUCAUUGCCUCUAUUUCGGCGGACAGGAGCUUCGCUUGGUCCGCAAACAAGUUCCACCUUCCUUCCGCAAAGCUAAGUCUAGGCCGCUCGGGCGGGGUCAGCCGCUUCGCUCUUAGCGGUCAGGCCAUGCGGGUUAGCAUCAACGACCCCUGCGGCACUCCUGAAAACGACGCACACCAAAACGCCGAAGCCAACUGUUUCACCCGUUCUACCUAUUUUAAGCGACGCGUAAUGACAAAACCGGAUAUACUACUGGGAAGGUUUUGUGCAAACGUUGAGUGGCAGUUCUGUGGGGUCACGGUGCGUACAGAACAUGUUUAAGUGCGGCUGGUCGUUUCUAACCACCGUUAGUUGAGUAAAAACGGAAACCUAUGUUUAAAGUUCCCGCAAUUAGUGGCGGUGGCGCCACUAGUGCCACUGGAGUUGGUUCUUUAUUCUAUGGAGCCACCGUGAAAAUGGCGACGCCAACAGCGAAACUUCCCCGAAGGCUGCCUUUGCUUUUGAUCGAUGGAGUUCUUUUUCCAGGAGCUUCGAUACGAAUACCAGUGUCAUCGCACAAGAACAUGAACAUGGUGAAGCAUCAUCUUCUGGGACACAGCACUUUCAGCAGUGCCAUCAUAGGAGUUGUUCCACGAGAAGAGAAUGAUUCGCAUGAGGAAGAGACAUGGUCUAUGCACAACUUGGGGACAGCGGGUAUCGUGGUCCAGGUGACGGGCACUAACUGGCCAAGGCCUUCAUACACUCUUCUAGUGACGGGCCUAUGCCGCUUUCGUAUUGAUGGCCUUGUCCAGGAGUCGCCAUACCUUGUGGGAAAUGUUUCUCAACUUGACAAGUUGCCUGGGGAGACUGGCUCAGUGGACAUGGAUGAUUAUGACACGGAGUUAACUGAGCUGAUGAACCAAUUUCGGGAACAGGCCACAAAAUUGAUAGACAUGCUUGACCUGUCUAUUCCCUCCAUCAUUAGACUAAAGCGUCUGCUAGCCUCUGUUCCUAUUCAGAGCUUGCCAGACAUAUGUGCUGCGAUUGUGAGAGCCACUCAUGCAGAGAGACUUCAAGUGCUGGAUGCAGUUGAUUUGGGCGAGCGCUUCAAGAAAACACUUCCCCUGCUGAUUCGGCAAAUUGAAAGCCUUCAAUUCUUGCAUCAAGCGAAGAAAGAUGGCAGCACAUCACGCUCGUUUCACAUUGAAAAGGUCGGAUCACCACAUCGGCCAAGACAACAGCUGGAUAUUGAUGAUGAUGAUUUUGAGGAAGGAGAUGAGGUUGGUUUGUUGGAGAAAAAAAUAAAGGCAGCUGAAAUGCCUGAUCAUGCUAGAAAGGUAGCUACAAAAGAAUUACAGAGGUUGAAGAAGAUGCCACCACAUAUGCCUGAGCAUGCCAUGACAAGAAAUUAUUUGGAGCUGCUCAUUGACUUGCCUUGGUCGCACAGUUCUCCAGAAGUUGUGGACCUUGCGAAAUCCAGGUCUGACUUGGAUGCUGAUCACUAUGGAAUGGAAAAGCUGAAGAAACGUGUUCUCGAAUACCUGGCUGUGAGGAAAUUGAAGAGCUCUCUCAAAGGCCCCAUCUUAUGCUUUGUGGGUCCUCCUGGUGUUGGAAAGACCAGUGUGGGACGUUCUAUAGCUUGCUCCUUGGGUCGCGAGUUCUACAGGAUAUCAUUGGGUGGAGUGAGUGACCAAGCGGACAUUAGAGGUCACCGCAGGACGUACAUUGGUUCAAUGCCAGGCAGAAUCAUUCAAGGAUUGCGAACUGUUGGUGUCAAAAACCCGGUGUUUCUGCUGGAUGAAAUUGACAAAAUGACCCCAGGCAUCCAUGGCGACCCUGCUGCGGCUUUACUUGAAGUCCUGGAUCCUGAGCAGAACUGUGCCUUCAUUGAUCACUACUUGAACAUCCCUUAUGAUCUUUCAAAUGUUCUAUUUAUUGCCACAGCCAAUACAGUUUCCACAAUUCCAGCAGCUUUGCUGGACAGGAUGGAGGUCAUUCCUGUGCCUGGUUAUACUCAUGAAGAGAAAGAACACAUAGCUCAAAACCAUCUCCUUCCUAAGCAACUGAAAGAGCAUGGUAUCACAACUGAUAUGAUGCAAGUGACGAAUGAAGCACUGAGAAAACUUGUGGUCAAGUACACAAGAGAGGCUGGAGUGCGGACAUUGGAGCGCAAGAUUGGUGCUCUCUGCCGGGCUGUUGCUGUGAAGGUUGUUGAAAAUGAGACCAUCUGUCCUGUGGCUGUCGAGCAGGAUCAGCUGUCCAACCAGAGUGCAGUCACCGUGGCUGUGGCGCACCCUCCCUCUCUCCCCAUCGUCAUUGAUGAAAUGGCCAUUGAAGGCAUUCUUGGACCACCACAGUAUGACCAAGAAAUGGACUCACGGCUUCUGCAGCCAGGUGUGGCAGUGGGCCUGGCCUGGACUGCAGCUGGGGGUGAGAUUAUGUUUGUGGAGGCAUCGCGCAUGGAAGGCGACGGGCAGCUGGUCCUCACGGGCCAGCUUGGAGAUGUCAUGAAGGAAUCAGCAAAGCUAGCCCUUAACUGGCUACGUAUUCAUGCCGACAAGUUCCACCUGCCUGUGCAAAAGGGCACUGACCUGAUGGAGGGCACAGAUGUACACAUACAUUUUCCAGCUGGUGCUGUUGGCAAAGAUGGACCUUCAGCUGGCGUCACCAUUGUUACUGUGCUGGUGUCGCUCUUCACUGGCCGCACAGUCCUUCCUGAUGUGGCCAUGACAGGCGAAAUUACUCUGCAAGGCUUGGUGCUCCCGGUUGGGGGCAUUAAAGACAAGGUGCUGGCAGCCCAUCGUGCUGGUAUGUGCAAAGUUAUAAUGCCUAAGAGAAACAAGAAGGACUUGCAGGAAAUUCCGGCAUCUAUCAAAGAGGACCUGUCUUUCAGUUUUGUGACUCACAUUGAAGAAGUUCUCCAGGAGGCUUUUGAAGGUGGCUUUCCUGACCUACCUAGCUCUGUUGAACACGUGUUGAGCAAGCUGUAGCACUCUGUGUGGGACAGUUGGGAGCGCAUUCAGUGCUCUUUGCCUCGUCCUCAAUUUAUGUAGAACCCUUUUCGUAAGCCUCCAGGUUCCUGCCCCGUACUUGGUCGUCGAGGCAUUGUGCUCUGAUCGCAGGUGGCAGUAUUCAUCCCACGGGCUUGUCUUCCACCUCUCGUGGAUGGACCAUUGCAAGUACUGAGCUACACAGGUGUUAACUUAUUCAGGGCUUUAUUCAAGUUCAGGCCACACUUACAUAUGUAAGGUUACAUACAUAUAUUCAUAGAAAAGUACAUAAGAGAGUUAGCAUGCGCAACUGGGCCAAUAUGUAUACCCAAUGCCCCAACUGAAGCGCACAGUAUAACUAGUAGCAUGGAAAAACUCUAUUGCUUUUUGCAAGCUCGGCCGCGUCCUGUGCUUUUGAACUGAACUGUGAAAUAAUUCUAGUGAUAAUGUGUCAUUGUCUGGCGUACAUCUGUCAUUCUCAGGCAAGUAAUUGUAUAUUUACACAUAAAUAAGCCUUAAAUUAUGAUGGGCUGAAACGAUGUGCAAUAAAUUAAGUAUGAAACAUGA